rnacentral:misc_RNA from 1 species
UGGUAAUGUUAUCUUACCUGUAACUAGUAGUUAACAUUCCAUUUAGACGCGUCUCUCUUUGGUUUUCGUGACGUAUCUUCGUAAAUAUGAUGAGUCCGGGUAUCUGAAAGAUAAGCGAGUCUUAUCCUGCACUCUUCAAUUCGUUGUCAAAGCGAGUUUCUUCAGUUCAAAAGCAGGCAUUAUUUCUCAUAAUGUUAAAAGAGGCUUAUUCUUAUGAUUUAGUAGGGAAA